UGGGGAAUAUUGCACAAUGGAGGGAACUCUGAUGCAGCGACGCCGCGUGAACGAAGAAGGCUUUCGAGUCGUAAAGUUCUUUUAUAUGGGAAGAUAAUGACGGUACCAUAAGAAAAAGCCCCGGCUAACUACGUGCCAGCAGCCGCGGUAAUACGUAGGGGGCUAGCGUUGUCCGGAAUCACUGGGCGUAAAGGGUUCGCAGGCGGAAAUGCAAGCCAGGGGUAAAAGGCAGUAGCUUAACUACUGUAAGCAUUUGAAACUGCAUAUCUUGAGAAGAGUAGAGGUAAGUGGAAUUUUUAGUGUAGCGGUGAAAUGCGUAGAUAUUAAAAAGAAUACCGGUGGCGAAGGCGGCUUACUGGGCUCAUUCUGACGCUGAGGAACGAAAGCGUGGGUAGCAAACAGG
rnacentral:rRNA from 1 species